UCUUGGCCAGCCUUCUGAAAGGAAGAUUAAUACAAGAUGGCAUCAUGAGUCCGCAUGUUCACAUGAUUAAAGGUAUUCCGGUAGACGAUGGGGAUGCGUUCCAUUAGAUAGUAGGCGGGGUAACGGCCCACCUAGUCUUCGAUGGAUAGGGGUUCUGAGAGGAAGGUCCCCCACAUUGGAACUGAGACACGGUCCAAACUCCUACGGGAGGCAGCAGUGAGGAAUAUUGGUCAAUGGGCGAGAGCCUGAACCAGCCAAGUAGCGUGAAGGAUGACUGCCCUAUGGGUUGUAAACUUCUUUUAUAAAGGAAUAAAGUCGGGUAUGGAUACCCGUUUGCAUGUACUUUAUGAAUAAGGAUCGGCUAACUCCGUGCCAGCAGCCGCGGUAAUACGGAGGAUCCGAGCGUUAUCCGGAUUUAUUGGGUUUAAAGGGAGCGUAGAUGGAUGUUUAAGUCAGUUGUGAAAGUUUGCGGCUCAACCGUAAAAUUGCAGUUGAUACUGGAUAUCUUGAGUGCAGUUGAGGCAGGCGGAAUUCGUGGUGUAGCGGUGAAAUGCUUAGAUAUCACGAAGAACUCCGAUUGCGAAGGCAGCCUGCUAAGCUGCAACUGACAUUGAGGCUCGAAAGUGUGGGUAUCAAACAGGAUUAGAUACCCUGGUAGUCCACACGGUAAACGAUGAAUACUCGCUGUUUGCGAUAUACUGCAAGCGGCCAAGCGAAAGCGUUAAGUAUUCCACCUGGGGAGUACGCCGGCAACGGUGAAACUCAAAGGAAUUGACGGGGGCCCGCACAAGCGGAGGAACAUGUGGUUUAAUUCGAUGAUACGCGAGGAACCUUACCCGGGCUUAAAUUGCAGAUGAAUUACGGUGAAAGCCGUAAGCCGCAAGGCAUCUGUGAAGGUGCUGCAUGGUUGUCGUCAGCUCGUGCCGUGAGGUGUCGGCUUAAGUGCCAUAACGAGCGCAACCCUUGUUGUCAGUUACUAACAGGUUCCGCUGAGGACUCUGACAAGACUGCCGUCGUAAGAUGUGAGGAAGGUGGGGAUGACGUCAAAUCA
rnacentral:rRNA from 1 species